UACGAAGGGGGGCUAGCGUUGCUCGGAAUGACUGGGCGUAAAGGGCGCGUAGGCGGUUUGUACAGUCAGAUGUGAAAUUCCCGGGCUCAACCUGGGGGGCUGCAUUUGAUACGUAUGGACUUGAGUGGGGAAGAGGGUCGUGGAAUUCCCAGUGUAGAGGUGAAAUUCGUAGAUAUUGGGAAGAACACCGGUGGCGAAGGCGGCGACCUGGUCCUUGACUGACGCUGAGGCGCGAAAGCGUGGGGAGCAAACAGG
rnacentral:rRNA from 1 species